GACGAACGCUGGCGGCGUGCUUAACACAUGCAAGUCGAACGGAAAGGCCCUGCUUGCCGGGUACUCGAGUGGCGAACGGGUGAGUAACACGUGGGUGAUCUGCCCUGCACUUCGGGAUAAGCCUGGGAAACUGGGUCUAAUACCGGAUAUGACCUUCCAUGUAGUGUGGGGGGAGGAAAGAUUUAUCGGUGUGGGAUGAGCCCGCGGCCUAUCAGCUUGUUGGUGGGGUAAUGGCCUACCAAGGCGUCGACGGGUAGCCGGCCUGAGAGGGUGGACGGCCACAUUGGGACUGAGAUACGGCCCAGACUCCUACGGGAGGCAGCAGUGGGGAAUAUUGCACAAUGGGCGGAAGCCUGAUGCAGCGACGCCGCGUGGGGGAUGACGGCCUUCGGGUUGUAAACCUCUUUCGACAGGGACGAAGCUUCGGUGACGGUACCUGUAUAAGAAGCACCGGCUAACUACGUG
rnacentral:rRNA from 1 species